AGUGAACGCUGGCGGUAGGCCUAGCACAUGCAAGUCGAACGGCAGCACAGUAAGAACUUGCUCUUACGGGUGGCGAGUGGCGGACGGGUGAGGAAUACAUCGGAAUCUACUUUUUCGUGGGGGAUAACGUAGGGAAACUUACGCUAAUACCGCAUACGACCUACGGGUAAAAGCAGGGGAUCUUCGGACCUUGCGCGAUUGAAUGAGCCGAUGUCGGAUUAGCUAGUUGGCGGGGUAAAGGCCCACCAAGGCGACGAUCCGUAGCUGGUCUGAGAGGAUGAUCAGCCACACUGGAACUGAGACACGGUCCAGACUCCUACGGGAGGCAGCAGUGGGGAAUAUUGGACAAUGGGCGCAAGCCUGAUCCAGCCAUACCGCGUGGGUGAAGAAGGCCUUCGGGUUGUAAAGCCCUUUUGUUGGGAAAGAAAAGCAGCAGGUUAAUACCCCGCUGUUCUGACGGUACCCAAAGAAUAAGCACCGGCUAACUUCGUG
rnacentral:rRNA from 1 species